UACGUAGGGGGCAAGCGUUGUUCGGAAUUACUGGGCGUAAAGCGCACGUAGGCGGCUUUGUAAGUUAGAGGUGAAAGCCCGGGGCUCAACUCCGGAAUUGCCUUUAAGACUGCAUCGCUUGAACAUCGGAGAGGUGAGUGGAAUUCCGAGUGUAGAGGUGAAAUUCGUAGAUAUUCGGAAGAACACCAGUGGCGAAGGCGACUCACUGGACGAUUGUUGACGCUGAGGUGCGAAAGCGUGGGGAGCAAACAGA
rnacentral:rRNA from 1 species